AGAGUUUGAUCCUGGCUCAGAUUGAACGCUGGCGGAAUGCUUUACACAUGCAAGUCGAACGGCAGCAUAGAGAGCUUGCUCUCUGAUGGCGAGUGGCGAACGGGUGAGUAAUAUAUCGGAACGUGCCUAGUAAUGGGGAACAACUAGUCGAAAGAUUAGCUAAUGCCGCAUACGACCUACGGGUGAAAGCAGGGGAUCUUCGGACCUUGCGUUAUUAGAGCGGCCGAUAUCUGAUUAGCUUGUUGGUAGGGUAAUGGCCUACCAAGGCAACGAUCAGUAGCUGGUCUGAGAGGACGAUCAGCCACACUGGAACUGAGACACGGUCCAGACUCCUACGGGAGGCAGCAGUGGGGAAUUUUGGACAAUGGGGGCAACCCUGAUCCAGCCAUUCCGCGUGAGUGAAGAAGGCCUUCGGGUUGUAAAGCUCUUUCGCAAGAGAAGAAAACUUAUUAUUUAAUAAAUGGUAAGUAUGACGGUAUCUUGACAAGAAGCACCGGCUAACUACGUGCCAGCAGCCGCGGUAAUACGUAGGGUGCAAGCGUUAAUCGGAAUUACUGGGCGUAAAGCGUGCGCAGGCGGUCUUAUAAGUCAGAUGUGAAAUCCCCGAGCUCAACUUGGGAACUGCGUUUGAAACUGUAAGACUAGAGUGUGUCAGAGGGGGGUAGAAUUCCAUGUGUAGCAGUGAAAUGCGUAGAUAUGUGGAGGAAUACCAAUGGCGAAGGCAACCCCCUGGGAUAACACUGACGCUCAUGCACGAAAGCGUGGGGAGCAAACAGGAUUAGAU
rnacentral:rRNA from 1 species